UACGUAGGGUGCAAGCGUUGUCCGGAAUUAUUGGGCGUAAAGAGCUCGUAGGCGGUUUGUCACGUCGGUUGUGAAAAUCCGAGGCUCAACCUCGGACCUGCAAUCGAUACGGGCAGGCUAGAGUUCGGUAGGGGAGACUGGAAUUCCUGGUGUAGCGGUGAAAUGCGCAGAGUAUCAGGAGGAACACCGGUGGCGAAGGCGGGUCUCUGGGCCGAUACUGACGCUGAGGAGCGAAAGGCGUGGGGAGCGAACAGG
rnacentral:rRNA from 1 species